ensembl:lncRNA
CAAGCUGAGCAUGGGAGAGCUUGGCUCCAGCCCGGGGUCUUCUGCUACUCAGAAGCGCCCACGAAGGCAGCCUUGUGCAGGGCCCCUAGCCCCCAGCUUACCAGGCUCACUGCCCAUGGUGAGCCCUUUGGGGCUGUAGCGGCCAGGGCUCCACAGGCAGGAUGGGAAAGACCAGGAGACACCACAUUUGUCAUGGUCUUGUCCCUGUCCACUCGGAGCCUCCUGGAAAGCUUGGCUGCCUCCAAGGCAAAUCCAGCCCCCUUUUCUAGUGCAUUCCCGGAACGAGGAGUCUUGGGAUUUAGCCACUGGGGCAGCUGCUCCCUGACCUGCAGCCCCACUUCCUCUGUCAUUUGACAUUGACAAGAACAGGAUAUAUUCUGGGCACAGGGUUGAGAACCGAGACCAAAGGCAAAGCCAAUAAGGAGCUCACAGUCUGGAGGAAAUGGUCAGAUUGCAGCAGAAGCCUGAUUAUCAGUGUUCAGGGGGCUGGUACAAUAAUUCUAGAUGCACAAAGUCGUUCAACAAACACUUGCUAAAUGCCCCUUUGCUAUGAGGUGCAGGGGAUGGAGCAGAAGGACCAUGCCCCAGUUCUGAUGCCAGAGGUAUAACAUUAACAGGGUCCUGAGAUGUGAGGGGCAGAAUGCAUUAGGCUUUCCUGGCCCUUCCAUUGUCUCCUGUCCGUCUAGGUAAGUGCCCAUUGACUGCCUUCCCAGCCAAGAGUCUGCAGCAUGCUUUGCAGAACCUCUUCUGCAUUAGAAAUGGGGGACCCCUGGGAUCUCACAGUCUCCUGCAGGUCAUGCCAGGGGGGAACUGGGGAGAUGCCACCUGCUACUUCCAGGUCCUAGAACUCCCUCCCAAGGCCCAGGAGAACCCCAAGGGAGUCCAUGCCAGCUGAGAAUGUGGUUGUGCAAAGACUUGGUGAACGAGAGGCAAUAACCUCCCACUGCUGGACCCCAUCAAUGCCCCAGUCUGGCAGGGGGGACACCAGCUCAGGAACAUGUGGCCUCCUGGUAUUUCUUGGUAUUUAACUGUCUCAUUGUCUUAUCCAAGUCCCUAAUGAAAUGAUUUGUACAACAAUCUGUCUGUGCCUUAUGAAAGUGUCUGUGCACUUUUUAUCCUUUUUAAAAGCAACUUUUUAAAAGUGGACGGGGGACAAGCAGACAUGGUAGGGUUCUGGAAACCUGUGGUUAAUCAUCAAAACCCUCUUGCAUUAUUGUGGAUGUUGGAGUGAUAAAGUGUCCACCCUCAGCCCACUCCCCACAACCUGUGUACAGACCUUUUAAAAUGUCUAUCCCUCUUAUUUUUCUGUUUCAAUACUGUGACCUCUCCAAUACAGUCUAAUCUUUGGGGAACUAUACUAAAGGUUUUAAAACUUGGGGGAGUGGGUUGGAAAGGGUUUGCACUGGUCUUUGUGUAUUGUGCUUUUGUGUGUUGUGUGUUUUGAUUUUUGUCUGUUUUUAUCUGUUUUAUAUUAACAUAAUUUUCCUGUUUGAAAAACAAAUAUAACUUUGGCUUGUUAAAAAAAUAAAGUUUCGGGCCGGGGAUUUAGCUCAGUGGUUUUGCCGCCUGCUGCGCAAGCGCAAGGACCCGAGUUUGAUCCCCACUACCCAAAAAAAUAAAAUAAAAUAAAAUAAAGUUUCUUCAAGACUCAAUUUUAAAAAUCA